rnacentral:rRNA from 1 species
CAAUAGCGUAUUUUUAAGUUGUUGCGGUUAAAAGCUCGUAGCUGGUUGUGUACUGAAGAAGCGUCGUCCACCCAAGUGGUGCGACAGCGCCUUCUUCUGUAUUUUCUGGCAGCGCUUGCGCUUGUCAGUCAUAUACCUUGAGGAAAGCAGAGUGCUCACAGCAGGCUACCGCCUUGCAUGUUAUAGCAUGGAAUAUUUUCAUAGGCUCCAGUCAUCUAUUGUUGGUUCAAGUGACUGGAAUUAAGGUCAAAAGAAACGGAUGGGGGCAUUCGUAUGUAAGCGCUAGAGGUGAAAUUCUUGGAUUGCUUACCGACGACCAGCGGCGAAAGCGUUUGCCAAAGACGUUUUUCAUUGGUCAAGAACGAAAGUUGGGGGAUCGAAGACGAUCAGAUACCA